CCUACGGGGGGCAGCAGUGGGGAAUAUUGCACAAUGGGGGAAACCCUGAUGCAGCGACGCCGCGUGAGUGAUGAAGUAUCUCGGUAUGUAAAGCUCUAUCAGCAGGGAAGUAAAUGACGGUACCUGACUAAGAAGCCCCGGCUAACUUCGUGCCAGCAGCCGCGGUAAUACGGAGGGGGCAAGCGUUAUCCGGAUUUACGGGGUGGAAAGGGAGUGUAGACGGUGUUGCAAGUGCGAAGUGAAAGCCCGGGGCUCAACUCGGGGACUGCUUUUGAAACUGGGGGACUGGAGUGCAGGAGAGGUAAGCGGAAUUCGUGGUGUAGCGGGGAAAUGCGUAGAUAUCAGGAGGAACACCGAUGGCGAAGGCAGCUUACUGGACUGUAACUGACGUUGAGGCUCGAAAGCGUGGGGAGCAAACAGGAUUAGAUACCCCAGUAGUC
rnacentral:rRNA from 1 species